rnacentral:lncRNA from 1 species
GGUGUAUCGCUUCCUGCCCCCGCCUCCCCUCCCCGCCCCCGUUCUCCGUCCUCUAUUGAAACACCUCGCCCAGCCUAGCGCACUGAGAGCUCUCAUUUUCCCCCCUUGCUCGGGAUGGUGCCACAGGAGGCUGUGCGGGCCCCGCUCCGCUUCGAAUGGAUACAGUUAAGCUAAUGAUCUCGAGAGGAUAUCGUCCUGGAUAAGGGUGGAGCCUACGCCCAAAAACAAGAUUACCUGAAAGAGAAAAGAAAGGGGGAAAACACACAGAGAUACAGUCGGGGAGGCCACAUGAAGAUGGAGGCAGAGACAGGAGUGAUGAGCCUGCAAGCCAAGGAAUGCCAAGGGCUGCCAGCAGCCAUGAGAAGCUGAGAGACACAGAGAACGAGUCCUCUGCCAGAGCCUCCAGAAGGAACUAACCCUGUCAAUACCUUGAUUUCGGACUUCUGGACUCCAGAACUAUAACCCUCCUUCCUCCACCUCACAAAAACUCACAAGCUGCAACCCUUCUGAUGUCCACUCCCACACAAACCAGCUUCAGGCCUUUUUCAAGAUGUGACUGGAGUGAUUUGCACCCGGAUGCCUAGACUCGCCAUCUGCUCAAAGACUGCUCAGAAAGCCCUCCCAUGCAUUCCCCUGCUGCAUACCAGCCCACUCUGCCUGCAGCUGCUGUCUGCAGGACUUCAUAUCUAUGCCACACUGUGUAAAAGCUGUGCUUCAAGAAAUCACAAAAACAUUUUCCUGCACCUACUACACAGCCUGAGUGCGGCAUAAGUUGACCUUGCUUGCUAAGAAAUGGGGCAAGAAAUGCUUUUUUGUGUGUGUCAUGUCUGUUUGUUUUUCAAUUAAGAGAGGAAAGCAUUAGGCAGAUGGAAUGUACAUGUGAGGAUGAGGAGACAGAAAACAAGUAGCCCUUUCCAUCAAGAUAGAGGGUUUUCUGGGGUUGCUGGCUAUUGAAUGUCACUCCUGAUUUCUCUUUCCAAGGCACUGUACCACCAGCCUACUGAGAUUGUGUGGGAGCUUUCAUGGGGGUUGUAUUUCACUGAUGAAAAUAAAUUUUUUGCAUAAUGUGAA